AUUGAACGCUGGCGGCAUGCCUUACACAUGCAAGUCGAACGGCAGCACGGGAGCAAUCCUGGUGGCGAGUGGCGAACGAGUGAGUAAUAUAUCGGAACGUGCCCAGUCGUGGGGGAUAACGUAGCGAAAGCUACGCUAAUACCGCAUACGAUCUAUGGAUGAAAGCGGGGGAUCGCAAGACCUGGCGCGAUUGGAGCGGCGGAUAUCAGAUUAGGUAGUUGGUGGGGUAAAGGCUCACCAAGCCGACGAUCUGUAGCUGGUCGGAGAGGACGACCAGCCACACUGGGACUGAGACCCGGCCCAGACUCCUACGGGAGGCAGCAGUGGGGAAUUUUGGACAAUGGGCGCAAGCCUGAUCCAGCAAUGCCGCGUGCAGGAUGAAGGCCUUCGGGUUGUAAACUGCUUUUGUACGGAGCGAAAAGGCUUCCACUAAUACUGGGGGCUCAUGACGGUACCGUAAGAAUAAGCACCGGCUAACUACGUGCCAGCAGCCGCCGUAAAAC
rnacentral:rRNA from 1 species